rnacentral:rRNA from 1 species
AGUGAACGCUGGCGGCAGGCCUAACACAUGCAAGUCGAGCGGCAGCGGGUCCCCGCGAGGGGAUGCCGGCGAGCGGCGGACGGGUGAGGAACACAUCGGAAUCUGCCUGGUUGUGGGGGAUAACGUAGGGAAACUUACGCCAAUACCGCAUGAGACCCUGAGUCGACGGACUGGGGGUGAAAGUGAGGGACCUUCGGGCCUCACGCGACCAGAUGAGCCGAUGUCGGAUUAGCUAGUUGGCGGGGUAACGGCCCGCCAAGGCGACGAUCCGUAGCUGGUCUGAGAGGAUGAUCAGCCACACUGGGACUGAGACACGGCCCAGACUCCUACGGGA